rnacentral:rRNA from 1 species
CAAUAUACAAGGUGCUGCAUGGGGUUGUCGUCAGCUCGUGCCGUGAGGUGUCGGGUUAACGUCCCGUAACGAGCGCAACCCUUGUCCUUAGUUACCAGCACGUUAUGGUGGGCACUCUAAGGAGACUGCCGGUGACAAACCGGAGGAAGGUGGGGAUGACGUCAAGUCAUCAUGGCCCUUACGGCCUGGGCUACACACGUGCUACAAUGGUCGGUACAAAGGGUUGCCAAGCCGCGAGGUGGAGCUAAUCCCAUAAAACCGAUCGUAGUCCGGAUCGCAGUCUGCAACUCGACUGCGUGAAGUCGGAAUCGCUAGUAAUCGUGAAUCAGAAUGUCACGGUGAAUACGUUCCCGGGCCUU